AUAUCAGGGAGAUGCGAUGGUCCCGCGCGAGCGGGUGAAAAGGGAACGCCGUGCGCCCCGGCCGGACCGUUGGUCCGGGGGCAAGUCGGCGGCUGCCCCCGCAACUGUCAGCGGCGUAGCGCUGGCCCGUCCGCCCCGGCAGCGGGGCGGGUCACUGAGCCCGGAAGGGCUCGGGAAGACGGGGCCGGUGGCACCGGGGAAUGCCCCCGACCGUCGCGAGCCAGGAGACCUGCCAUCGCGGCACCAACCAUG
rnacentral:ncRNA from 1 species